GCAGGGUGAAGACGAUGCAGCAGAGAUGGACAGGCCUUACACUAAAUGAUAAUGAUCAGGUUUGGAGUGACAAGAGGCUGAGUCAUUGAACACAAGGAGUGACAAAUAUGUAGACAUGGAAGAAGCUGCUCCGCGCCCACAUCUCCUACUGAAUUGUUGUCCAACUGGAGCCCAACAGGAUUCCGCAGGUACUUCAGCACAUACGCCAGCGCAGUACAUU